GGCCCAGACUCCUACGGGAGGCAGCAGUGGGGAAUAUUGGGCAAUGGGCGCAAGCCUGACCCAGCAACGCCGCGUGAAGGAAGAAGGCUUUCGGGUUGUAAACUUCUUUUAAGAGGGAAGAGAAGAAGACGGUACCUCUUGAAUAAGCCACGGCUAACUACGUGCCAGCAGCCGCGGUAAUACGUAGGUGGCAAGCGUUGUCCGGAUUUACUGGGUGUAAAGGGCGUGCAGCCGGGAAGACAAGUCAGAUGUGAAAUCCCGCGGCUCAACCGCGGAACUGCAUUUGAAACUGGCAAACUGGAGUGUGUGAGAGGAUAGUGGAAUUCCAGGUGUAGGAGUGAAAUCCGUAGAUAUCUGGAGGAACAUCAGUGGCGAAGGCGACUAUCUGGCACAUAACUGACGCUGAGGAGCGAAAGCGUGGGUAGCAAACAGGAUUAGAUACCCGGGUA
rnacentral:rRNA from 1 species